rnacentral:rRNA from 1 species
AACCCCGGGAGGGGAGUGAAAGAGAACCUGAAACCUUAUGUUUACAAACAGUCGAAGUUUUUCGGAACGACGGCGUACUUUUUGUAGAACGGUCCGGCGAGUUGCAGUGACAUGCGAGGUUAAGGAGUACAGCUCCGGAGCCGAAGGGAAACCAAGUCUUAACUGGGCGUCUAGUAUGUUAAUGCAGACCCGAAACCGGGUGACCUAUCCAUGGGCAGGUUGAAGUUACCGUAAAAGGUAAUGGAGGACCGAACUCACAUCUGUUGAAAAAGGUGGAGAUGACCUGUGGAUAGCGGAGAAAUUCCAAUCGAACUCGGAGAUAGCUGGUUCUCCUCGAAAUAGCUUUAGGGCUAGCCUUGAGGUAAAGUCUAAUGGAGGUAAAGCACUGAUUGGACGCGGGUCCCCAAAAGGAUACCAACUUCUAUCAAACUCAGAAUGCCAUAUAGAUAUACUCAGGAGUCAGACUAUGUGAGAUAAGUUUCAUAGUCAAAAGGGAAAGAGCCCAGACCGACAGCUAAGGUCCCAAAGUGUGUGUUAAGUGGAAAAGGAUGUUAGGUUUCUAAGACAACUAGGAUGUUGGCUCAGAAGCAGCCACUCAUUUAAAGAGUGCGUAACAGCUCACUAGUCGAGAGGUCUAGCGCCGAAAAUGUCCGGGGCUAAAACACACCACCGAAGCUACGGAAUUACCUAUGGUAAUUGGUAGAGGAGCAUUCUGUAAGGACGAAGCACAAUUGAAAGAGAGUGUGGACGAAACAGAAGAGAGAAUGCCGGAAUGAGUAGCGAGAUAUAUGUGAGAAUCAUAUAGGUCGAAUGUCUAAGGUUUCCUGGGUAAAGCUGAUCUGCUCAGGGUAAGUCGGGACCUAAGGUGAGGGCGAGAGCCGUAAUCGAUGGACAACAGGUAGAAAUUCCUGUACUACGUAUAAUCAGAACUGUGGGGACGCAGGAGGAUAGGAAAACCGGAGAAUGGAAAUAUCCGGCUAAGUACAAAGGUGUGAGUGAUAGGCAAAUCCGUCACUAUAAGCUGAAGUACGAAUGGGAGCGAAGAAAAGUAGCGAAGUUUCUGAAUCCACACUGUCAAGAAAAGCCGCUAUUGCGUUAUACGUACCCGUACCGCAAACCGACACAGGUAGACGAGGAGAAAAUCCACAGACCGACGGGAGAAGUGUUGUUAAGGAACUCGGCAAAAUGACCCCGUAACUUAGGGAUAAGGGGAGCCAACGCAAGUUGGUCACAGAAAAGAGGCUCAAGCGACUGUUUAGCAAAAACAUAGGUCUAUGCGAAACCGUAAGGUGAUGUAUAUGGGCUGACACCUGCCCGGUGCUGGAAGGUCAAAAGGAGAGGUUAGCGUAAGCGAAGCUUUGAAUUCAAGCCCCAGUAAACGGCGGCCGUAACUAUAACGGUCCUAAGGUAGCGAAAUUCCUUGUCAGGUAAGUUCUGACCCGCACGAAAGGUGUAACGAUUUGAGCACUGUCUCGACAACACGCCCGGUGAAAUUGAAGAACCAGUGAAGAUACUGGUUACCCGCAACAGGACGGAAAGACCCCAUGGAGCUUUACUGCAGCUUAAUAUUGGGAUUCGGUAUUGUAUGUACAGGAUAGGAGGGAGACUAAGAAGCUAGCACGCCAGUGUUGGUGGAGUCGAUGGUGGGAUACCUCUCUUAUAAUACUGAAUUUCUAACCUACUUCCGUGAUCCGGAAGAGGGACAUUGUUAGGCGGGCAGUUUGACUGGGGCGGUCGCCUCCGAAAGAGUAACGGAGGCGCUCAAAGGUCUUCUCAGAAUGAUUGGAAACCAUUCAAAGAGUGUAAAGGCAAAAGAAGGCUUGACUGCGAGAGUGACAACUCGAGCAGGUACGAAAGUAGGACUUAGUGAUCCGGUGGUAACAAGUGGGAGUGCCAUCGCUUAACGGAUAAAAGCUACCCUGGGGAUAACAGGCUUAUCU